UCCCUGGUGGUCCAGUGGUUAGGAAUCCGCCUUGCAAAUGCAAGGGAUGCAGGUUUGAUCCCUGUUUGGGGAA
rnacentral:tRNA from 1 species